UACGGAGGGUGCAAGCGUUAAUCGGAAUUACUGGGCGUAAAGCGUGCGCAGGCGGUUUGUUAAGUCUGUUGUGAAAUCCCCGAGCUCAACUUGGGAAUUGCAAUGGAUACUGGCAGGCUGGAGUAUGGUAGAGGAAGGUGGAAUUCCCGGUGUAGCAGUGAAAUGCGUAGAGAUCGGGAGGAACACCAGUGGCGACGGCGGCCUUCUGGACCAAUACUGACGCUCAUGCACGAAAGCGUGGGGAGCAAGCAGG
rnacentral:rRNA from 1 species